UACGGGGGGGGGCAAGCGUUGUUCGGAAUUACUGGGCGUAAAGGGCUCGUAGGCGGCCAACUAAGUCGGAUGUGAAAUCCCCAGGCUUAACCUGGGAACUGCAUCCGAUACUGGAUGGCUUGAAUUCGGGAGAGGGAUGCAGAAUUCCAGGUGUAGCGGUGAAAUGCGUAGAUAUCUGGAGGAAUACCGGUGGCGAAGGCGGCAUCCUGGACCGAGAUUGACGCUGAUGAGCGAAAGCGUGGGGAGCGAACAGG
rnacentral:rRNA from 1 species